AACCUUGUUUUAGCCCAUGGACCGCUUCUAUAAUAAGGCGUUGAUCCUUUCGUAACAAGCACCUGCGUUGGCACUUGUGGCGUAAUCUGAAGCACAAAGUCGCCAACCGAUGGAUCAGUGUAACUUUUCCAAGAACUCAACACCUGCUUCUCGCCAGUGGCGAGGUUAUACUUCAGGGUUGAGGAAGGAAGCAUAGUAUCACCAAGAUGGUCAAAGCUUUGCCAUAGAGUUCUUCCCGAAAAAUUGUCUAUGACAAUAAGAUUUCCGGUGUCUGAAAGCUCUGCACGAGACCCGUUAGAAACAAGAGCUUCUCCACUGGACCAUGCAACGCCAUGUUUGCCAUUAAAUAACAGAAGACUUCCAUUGUUGCUGAUAGCGAGAUUUGCCGUGGAAUCUGUAACAGGCUUUUCUCUAUUGGCCACCCACACAACCACCCGGGGAAUAAUACCCUUGAACCAGAUUCCGACAUACUGAUUCUGGGAGUUAUUAAAAUUGAAGAACCCCAGUUCAUAAAAACCAUUAGAGGAGCUGAGAGUUUGUCCUAUUGGCAAAGGACUUUCUUUCGUUAUCCCUGCAGAGCUAGAACUUAUAAAGAAGCUAGAUAAGAGCAAAUAAGCAAAGAACACGAUCCACUUCUUCCCCAUAUUUGUUAUUUCUCUCCAAAAACUAUCUUUUUUAGAUUAGCUUUACAUAAAGCGAGAAAGCAAGAAAAAAAAAAAAAAAAACUCUCUUUGCACAUUUUUUGUUUUGUCAACUCAGGGACUGACUUGUGAGAAUAAUACAGAACAAAAAUCAUGCGUUAUUUAAUAAUCUUUACUAAUGUUCCAAAAAUCAUGCGUUAUUUGAUAAUAGAGAACAAAAGUGUCAAAGCACGAAUAAGUCCUUACCCAAUCAGAUACGCAACGUUGUCAUUGUUCAAUGCUAUCAAGAACAAAAAGAAGAAGACUUUGGUUAUCAAAGACUUUAGAAUAAGUUACUGCAAAUUUUCUUCUAUUCCAUUCAAAGACAAUCAUUUACUUAAAUACACAAAAAAGGUGUUCAGAAAGUAACUGCUCACUAAACAAAUAACAACGUGAAUGAGUGGGAGACAAUUCCAAGUCCUUAUUAGCUCUGCAUCAAUAAUAGAAACAAUGCAUACAUGAUAGAUUGGCACGAAGAAGUCCUUACCCAAUCAGAUACGCAACGUUGUCAUUGUUCAAGUCCUUAUUAGUUCUGCAUCAAUCGAAAGAAUCCAAUCCUUGCUUCACCAUUACAACACAAUAACUUUCUUGAAAUGCAGGCUAUGUUUUAUCUCGUUUAGACAUUUCCUCGAACACUUGCAGUGCAUAAAAAAAACCUCCGAGCCUCGCUAAUGUCGUUAGACCCGUAAUGACCCUAAUCGACUGAUUCCCAACUCCAACCAUAUGGGCUUAACUGUUUCUGUCCAAAAGAACCGAAGAAUUCAACAGUCAACAUUGGUGUGCCACUAGGCCCGAGAAUAAUCUCCCGGGAAGUCUUAAAAUGAAGUAGAGUCAACGAUUUGUUUUUGAGCAAAGUAUUUUGUCAAUUUAGUGGGAAGUGGAAUCAUGUAAUCAUGCCUAAUAAAAU
rnacentral:lncRNA from 1 species